GGUGUGAAGGCAGCUGGUGGUGGGGUGUCCCACAAGACAAAGGAAGCCCUGGCCUCAGAAAACAAAUCAAAGCAGGCAGCAGCCAAGGAGAAGGCAGCAGGCCAAGCCAAGGCUGGCUAUUUUUAUGAGGACGGCCAUCCAGGUGGGGAGCAGGUGAAGAGAGGGGCAGGGAAGCAGCACCUUCACAAGGGGAGGGCAGCACAGAGGUUGGCAGCCCAGGAGCUGGAUCCAGGGGCAGCAGGAGCAGAGAGGACGGCCAGGCUGCGGGCAGGCAGGAAGAACAGCAUCCCACCGGUCACCACCUCCUCCAAGUCCACCUCUAGCCAAAAGCAUCCCAGGAAGCUCAGCCAGGAGCCUCCAAUGAAGAGCGAGGUGGGGCAGGGCAUUGCCACCAAGAGCUCCAAGCCACCCCGGUUUUCCAUGAAGGAGAUGAAGAAGCGGAAGCCCCGAAGCGGGACAUGGAGCAAGGAGCUCAUCCACAAGAUUGUGCAGCAGAAGAACAAGCUCCACAAACUGCAGGUGAAGAGCAGCAAGCAGGCACAGUUCCCUCAGGUUGCUGAGAGGCUGAUGCCAGCUGCCAGGGAGGGCAGGUUUCAGGAGUAUGACUAUGUCUCUGACUCGGAUGAUGAUGGGGCAGAGUGUAGCAAGCCCCGGGGACGGAAGAAGCAAGGCACGGGAUUCGUCAGGAGGACCAAGUACAGCUUUAGCAAGAAACGCCCAGGAAGAAGUGAGAGAACCAAAGAGAAAGAUCCAGCCUGGAGCUACAGCCGGAAAAGGGACAGUCAGAAAAGGGAGGCACGGGAGCAUGGGGGUGUCUCAAGCCAGGGGGAUGGCGAGAAAGAGGAUUGUGCCACCAGAGUCCGAAGACGGAGCAGCCAGUCGUCCACCGGCAGCAACCACAGCGAUAGCAUGCCCAGCGAGGUGGGCACCAGCCCACCCCACACUGAUGGGGCUGGCUCAGGCAGUGAGAAGGGACGCACGCAGAGGAGGAGGCGUUCAGGCAGCCCAGCACGUGUGCCAAGGACUCCACUUAGCCUUCCCGAGGAGAGAAGCCCAAAGAAGAGCCAGAAAAACAAAGAGGACUUUCCCAGGGGCAGCAGGCCGUUUGGCUCAGCCAAACCUUUGGUAGCUGGCUCCAGGACAUGUCUGAGUACUGAACCAGAUGUUGCUGUGAUGGACUGUGCAAAGGAGGAGCUGUUGCCACAGGCCCAGGAGAGGCAGCUGCCCAGCACAGCCACCUCGGGCAGGAGCCCCGUCAGGCUCUCCUGUAAAGAGGGGGAAGAAGAACCCAAAGUAAUAGCAAAGCACACGAGUGAGGCAGGAGAAGCCACCCUAGAAGCUCAGGACUCACCUGAGCUGACCAUGGUCAACCAGAGGCAUCAGUUUGACCCUUUCACCAGUGAUGGGCUGAAGUACCAUGCAGAAGAGCUAAUUGCUACAUCCCACGGUGGUAACGAAGCU
rnacentral:lncRNA from 1 species